AUGCCUUCGAGCUCCGGGCGUCCCUUGGCCGGCCCUUGGCUGGGUCUGCCCGGGCGCUCGCAGCUAGCGGACCCGGGAGAGCGGCAGAGCGAGCGCGCCCUUACCUGUAGCAGCCAGUGGCCCGUCUCUCCGAUGAGCGGGAAGCCCAUGGAGCCCUUCGGGAUGGGCAGCUUGCAGCUCUUGUCGCGGGUAGCAGCCCAGCGCAGCUGCCACAGCUGCUGCGACACGGCCAGCAGCAGCGUCACGGACACCAGCGGGCCCAGGGGCUGCUCAAGGGGCAGUGAGAUGAAGCCGCAAGUCAAGAUGUUGGAUUUGCUCUCCCCGCAACCAUCACACGUGGAAAACUUUGGAAAACUUUGUGAGCCUCUCUCGUAAGCCCUUUCCCCUGCACGGGAAAGAAAAAAAGCUGAAGGGGAACAGAGAGCUAGCGGAGAGAAAAUGCGAUCGGUUUGUCAAAAGUAUUUCCCCAAAAUUCCUAGGUGGAAAAAAAAUCGGAAUCCAAAAGUUCCAAUGAACCCAAAAACUUUGGGGGUCGAGGGAGAAGGCUCCCCGAUUGAAGCAAGUGGAGAAGCCUGAGCCCCGCGUCCCUGGGCUGCCCCGGGCUGCGCGCCCAAGCUCCAGAGCCGCUGCUGCACCCGGAGGUGG
rnacentral:lncRNA from 1 species